GUGGAGAGUGAUAUCCCGGAUUGUGUGUGACGCCCGUGUUGUUUUGUCUCCUUUGGAAAGAAUAAACCUCUAGUACUCGACUCCUGUGUGUGCCUCACUGGAAGAUACAAGACACAACGCAGAAAGACAUUGGUUACAAAUGGUGCCGUGACCCGGAUUCUUCAGAUCAGCCGCUGCAGAUCGCCGAGGUUAUGCUGUGAGCAAAGCAGGCCGAUGAAAUCCUCAGUCACCUUUUGGGACGAGCUAAGAGUAUCGUUAAAGUGGGGCUGAAGAGUAGUGCCGAUGUCAACACACACCCUGAAGUGGUAUACGAC
ensembl:lncRNA